rnacentral:tRNA from 2 species
GUCACCGUAGUGUAGUGGUUAUCACGUGCGCCUCACACGCGCAAGGUCCCCGGUUCGAGCCCGGGCGGUGACA